rfam:Fictibacillus phosphorivorans strain G25-29, complete genome.
CUCUGUCUCCGCAUAGGAAACAGGGCAGAAGGAG